rnacentral:lncRNA from 1 species
GCGUCGCCGGGGCGGGUCCCCCUCAAAGCCCUGGGGGACUCGUGCCCGGAAGGGGGGGCGGCGCCCACAGGCUCCUUCGCUGGCAGGGCCUCCAGCUCCGUAGAAUGCGAGGGGUUUCAAAGUUGGAAGGCAGAGAAAUACAGAACUGAUGAUACAACUUUAUUUGGAAAAGAUAUCCUCCAACUCUUGGCCCUGCAGAAGUUACUAUUCUUUUAUAAGAGGAAAGCAGUUACUUCUACUCCCAAUUCCACCUUAUCUGGACAUCAUGGAGAGUCACCAUCACCUGAGGCAGAUGUUUUGCAAGAUAAUAUGCUUGCAGAUAUAUUUACCUCAAAGUUUGCUCCAACUGUCCCUAAAGUAUGUAAGCCAAAAACUAGGCUCAACCUCAUCAUGGCCUAACUGGCGAAGUACUAUGUCUGACUGGAAAGAAAGGUACUAUUAA